GACUAUUUGCAACAGAUGAAAACGAACUUCCCUCAGCCGUAGCAGCAGGUGGCACAUCGAUUCCUUCUUCUCGAAUAUUCUUGUCUGGGAUAUGCAAAUGAGUGAAACAUUCAUUACAAAUCAAAUCUUAUAGAGGUGUCUUUUUCAGAUGAAAUGCUGUAAGGGGAUAAUAAAAAAUGCUUUUUAAGUUGAGUAUCAAUGAUAUAAACUAGUGGGCUCUAGUUAGUGACUGAUAUCAUCUUCAUGUUUUCCCCAUUUUCAUGCUUUUCACAAAACACCUUCUUAGUCUUCUCUCUCUAUCUCACACACACACGGUGAGAGGACAAAGCCACCAUGGACAGGCACAAAUUAGCCCUUUUUCGGGUAAGUAUGUUAGUGUGCAUUUUUCUGCAGUUGCACCGCAACUCUCUCUUGUAAGGAGUCUUCCCGGAUUCAAGGAACCUUCCCUUCAAAACAUUACUCAGGGUAUGUGACACUAUAGGGGAGCCCUCCGAAGAACCUCUUCUACUACUUUGUAGUGUCGGAGACAAGUCAUGCGCGUGAUCCUGUUCUGUGGCUAAAUGGAGGACCAGGUUGCUCGAGCUUUGAUGGCUUUGUCUACAAACAUGGUUGCAAGUGUCAUCUAUUUGGACUCACCGGUUGGUGUUGGAUUCUCAUAUCAUGUUAACGGAGAGCUAGGGAGGCCUCAUGCUGUGAGAAAGAGGAUUUUCGGACGUGCUGGGCCUUUUCGUGAACCAGUUGCAGAUGGAGUCAUCCCUCUGUGGCCUCAAGUUUACAUUGUGUUGUGUGUGAAGUUGCCGAUAUGUACAAGAGUGUGCUAAUAACUUCACUUUCCUCACUCUCAUUUCAACAUUUUUUCUUGGAUCAAAGGCAAAUAAUUAAAUGAUUUGUUUAGAAACAAAUUCAGUGGUAAACACUGAUCAAAGUUGAAUAUAAAAAUGAGCCUCUUCAACUAAACCAUUCCUUUCCAACCAAAGAGUUUAGGUUUUUCUAAUUGUUCAAU